rnacentral:ribozyme from 1 species
UUUCUUUUCUUUUCUUGUCCUCUUUUCUUUUCCUUUUCUUGUUCUCUUUUAUUUAGAGGGAGAG